AUAAGACAGGCCUGGGAGGAGCGCUGCCCAGCCUGGGCCUCAGGGAGCAGAAUCGGGGCGCCUCCACCAUGGCCUGGAUCCCUCUCCUGCUCGGCCUCCUGGCUCAGUGCACAGGAUUUGUGGCCUCCUAUGAGGUGACUCAAUCACCCUCAGUGUCAGUGAACCCGGGACAGAGGGCCAGCAUCACCUGUGAGGGGAACAACAUUGGGAGAAAAGAUAUUCAGUGGUACCAGCAGAAGCCGGGCCGGGUCCCUGUGCUGGUCAUCUAUGAGGACACCAACCGGCCCUCAGGGAUCCCUGAGCGCUUCUCUGCCUCCAAGUCGGGGAACACCGCCACCCUGACCAUCAGCGGGGCCCAGGCUGAGGACGAGGCCGACUACUACUGUCAGUCAUACGAUGAUAGUUAUACUCCUCACAGUGACACAGGCAGAGGGGGAAGUGGGACACAAACUCCCUGCCUGGCCUAGGGCUCCCUCCCCCCGCCUCAGAGCAGCUGCAGCUCAGCCCUGAGCUCAGGGGGCCUCUCUG